AUUGAACGCUGGCGGCAGGCUUAACACAUGCAAGUCGAACGAGUGGCGGACGGGUGAGUAAUGAUUGGGAAUCUGGCUUAUGGAGGGGGAUAACGACUGGAAACUGUCGCUCAUACCGCGUACCAUAGGAUGAGACACAGUUGGAUUAGGUAGUUGGUGGGGUAAUGGCCUACCAAGCAGACGAUCUAUAGCUGGUCUGAGAGGAUGACCAGCCAAACCGGGACUGAGAAACGGCCCAGACUCCUACGGGAGUCAGCAGUGGGGAAUAUUGCGCAAUGGGGGCAACCUGACGCAGCCAUGCCGCGGUAGUGAAGAAGGCCUUCGGGUUGUAAAGUUCUUUCGGUGACGAGGCGUUAAUCACAGAAGAAGCACCGGCUAACUCCGUGCCAGCCGCCGCGGUAAUAC
rnacentral:rRNA from 1 species